CCUACGGGCGGCAGCAGUGGGGAAUAUUGGACAAUGGGCGAAAGCCUGAUCCAGCCAUGCCGCGUGUGUGAAGAAGGCCUUCGGGUUGUAAAGCACUUUCAGUGGGGAAGAAAGCCUUGGGGCUAAUACCCUCGAGGAAGGACAUCACCCACAGAAGAAGCACCGGCUAACUCCGUGCCAGCAGCCGCGGUAAUACGGAGGGUGCGAGCGUUAAUCGGAAUUACUGGGCGUAAAGCGCGCGUAGGCGGUCUGAUAAGCCGGUUGUGAAAGCCCCGGGCUCAACCUGGGAACGGCAUCCGGAACUGUCAGGCUAGAGUGCAGGAGAGGAAGGUGGAAUUCCAGGUGUAGCGGUGAAAUGCGUAGAGAUCGGGAGGAAUACCAGUGGCGAAGGCGGCCUUCUGGACUGACACUGACGCUGAGGUGCGAAAGCGUGGGUAGCAAACAGGAUUAGAUACCCGAGUAGUC
rnacentral:rRNA from 1 species